rnacentral:rRNA from 1 species
AUACGGAGGGUGCAAGCGUUAAUCGGAAUUACUGGGCGUAAAGCGCACGUAGGCGGUCCGUUAAGUUAGAUGUGAAAGCCCCGGGCUUAACCUGGGAACUGCAUUUAAAACUGGCGAACUAGAGUUGAGUAGAGGGGAGUGGAAUUUCAGGUGUAGCGGUGAAAUGCGUAGAGAUCUGAAGGAACACCAGUGGCGAAGGCGACUCCCUGGACUCGAACUGACGCUGAGGUACGAAAGCGUGGGUAGCAAACGGGAUUAGAUACCCUAGUAGUCC